UGCAACUCAUUUUCUGCAGAGCAUCUUGUAGGACUGGGGACCAGUCAGGGAGGCGUGUUGUGGGAAUAUGGCAGAGGGCCUUUGUGACACACGUCUGUCAUGACUUGAAGGUGUCGUGGUAAAGGUGUGCCUGCACGGACCCGCUCGCAGCCGAGGAAAUAAAGAGCAGGGAUGAGCAAUGAGCCGGCUGCCUGGGGUGGAGCCCUCCCAGACCAUCGUGUUGUUGCUGUUUUCUGUGACUUCCAGUAGCAGAGACCAUGCCAUGCACCUGAUCUCUACCUGGCCCUGUGGUCUCCUUGCCUCUUUGAUUCUGGUGUGGCUGGCUGCGUGAGGAACCCGCCAGAUCAGGCUGAGUCCAGGCAGUCGUUAGGAUCAGCUUUCCCUCAGAACAGAUGGAGCCAGAGAGCUUGUGUGCUUCAUGUGAGUCCUGGCAGCUGCCGGAAACAGUUUCUGGUCUUGAAGCUCACCUCGGUGAGAGCAGCAUGGGCUGAGAACACGGGAGCUGACUUCAGGUGUAACGGGAGGGCUGCAGGCUAGACCGCAAGGGAACAGCUCCCCGCUGGCAGAAUGCUUGGAGAGACCCCAGGGAGAGCCCCGUGGCGACCACAGCACCGGCCUCCAGGUUACCCCAAGCACAUGAGGCUGGAGAAGGUUCUGGAGUGUCUUCAAGCGGUUCAAGGCUUCUGCCAGAAACAAUUGGGAAAACAGAAUGCAGCCCAGGAUCGAAAGAAUCUAUCCAUUCCUCUGGAAUUCUCCAUCUGUCCGGCUGGGCCCCAUAUUAACGUUUGAGUAAUUCCCUAAUGUGAAGUCGCCAGGCUUUAAAAAUAGUGCAGUCAGGCUUGCGUUUGCUAGUGGUUUCUCGCCUUCAAAUGUUGGCCUCAAGCCCUCUGUCCCCCUUGAACAUUCUCCACACCCCUGCCUAUCAUAAUUCCCUUGCCUGUCCUAAUUCAACCCAUUCAUUUAUAUGUACAGUGUUUGUCACCCCCCUUCUCUGUGCUGGACAUUGGUGGGUCUUGGGGUCGGUGGUGAGCAAAAUAGCUGUCACCAUCAUGAAACUCAGUCUGUGAAGAGGCAGGCCAAUUAAAAUCGGGUUAUUAGUGAUGGUUUCUAUAAAGCAGUGCUUCUCUGCUAUCUGUGAGCAAAGACCUAUUAUUUUUCAUUUCCCAUCAAACAUGGUCCUACUGUGCAUGAUUUGUGUGUAGUUUGUAUUGUGAGUUGGAUGAUACUUCACCCUGUCUAAUGAGAUGGGUCCACCCAUCCCCUGCUUGGAUGCCCUAUAAUAAAAGUUUCUAAACCCUCAAAUGCUGUAUGUUGAUA